UAUCGAUCUGUUUUACACUAGAAUUUUAAGGUGAAUGACUUGGAAUGGAAACCUUAAUUUAAGAAAAGAAAUAGAGGUCUAUGAACCACACUAUCCGUGGGGAAAGUAACAACAAACUGGAAGGGCCUCCGAGUACCAAGGUCCUGUCUGAUGCAAAGAGCUGCGGGUGUAUCUUCCCAUACUUCACAACCUUCUCCAAGGGAGGCAGGCCUGCAAAUUAAUUUUGCCUCCUCACUUCCGAAUCUUUCAACCUGGAAACAGCUUUGUUGGUCUUUCUCCCUUCGCACUGCCAACUCCUUUCCCAUAUCUCUGGAUCCAAAUGCAACAAAGAGUUUAUGUUCUUUAAAUACAUGGGACUCAGAAAUGCCUUUGCCUCUUUCAGAUUAUGACUACUGGUCUAGUGAACUUACUGUACCGAAAAAUCUGCGAGCCUCACAGAAUACUACACAAUUUUACAUAUGUUUCUGCCAUGAUAGAAAUUGCCAUUUGCCCAAGUACUUUUUAUAUAAAUGCCCUCAAAUUUCUAAGACGGUACAGUAUGUUCCACCCACUUUUGUGACAGAUGGAAGAGACAUUUGGAAUUGUAAAAUGUCUGUACAAAGAGCAGAGCCUUCUAAUGCUGUAGUUUCACCUCAAGAUAAUACAGUUUUCUCUACUCCAGCAAGAUGCCGAAGAAUAAAUCAGUUUUCAUGGAGCUCCCAAAUGUUUAUAGCACUCAUCCUUUUUUACUUAGAAUCACCCAUGCUUUUUCGAAGCCUUUUGGUCACAAGGCAUUUUCAGUGGUCUAUUAAUACUAUCUUUUUAGAUUUUCCUCAGAGAUUUCAUUUCACCUCAAAUCAAUCUUCAAUCUUAUUAUAUGUUAACAUAGCCAACAUUUCUUACUGUUUGAUUUGAGUGUUAAAUCAAACAAAAUAUUUCAAAACCAAAUUUGCCAUUUUCCUGACUAUUCAUACCCAAAUAGACCCUUACUGUCAUUGAUGUCAUGCAUGUUAUAUAUUAUAUUAUAAAUAUA
rnacentral:lncRNA from 1 species